GAUCAGAAACUGUUUCGUUAGAUAAGUUCAUUGCAGUGGCAUCAUCAUCAACAUCGUCAUCAUCAUCAUCAUCAUUACAGUUUUUCUUCAAUGGGAUGAAUUCUUCUAAAACUGGUUGAUUAUUUGAUGCUGCACAUUGUAUUGACUCUGCCUUCAAAAAUAGAAUUGCUGCAACAAAACAAUAAAAAACAGCCCAAUAUAAAAAUCAUCAGGAACCAAAACAGGUUUAUUAGUCUAAUAUCGGAAUUAGUCUCCUCCUUAAAGCUAAAAAAAAGAACAAGAAAAAUCCAUUGAUCAAAUUCAUAAGAUAUUAAUUAAAAAAACAAAAACCCAUUUCUCAUGCUGAAUUCUUCCAUUUCAGAACCCAAAAUCAAAACAAACCCAUUGACCAAAAUUCAUCAAAAUCUCAAAAAUCAAUCAAUCAAAAUCAUUAAAAAAAAUUAAAUAAUUUUCUUAGAAAAAAAAUAUCACCCAUAGCAACAAGUAAGGCAAUUUAAAACUCAAUUUAAAAGAAAAAAGAAUGAAAAAACCAACCAAGGCAAUUUAAAACUCAAUUUAAAA
rnacentral:misc_RNA from 1 species